CACGUAAGGGGCGAGCGUUGUUCGGAUUUAUUGGGCGUAAAGGGCGCGUAGGCGGUGAGGUAAGUCUGGUGUUAAAUACUUCGGCUCAACCGGAGGAGUGCGCUGGAAACUGUCUUGCUUGAGUGAUGGAGGGGGAACUGGAAUUCCUGGUGUAGGGGUGAAAUCUGUAGAGAUCAGGAAGAACACCGGAGGCGAAGGCGAGUUCCUGGCCAUUAACUGACGCUGAGGCGCGAAAGCGUGGGGAGCGAACAGG
rnacentral:rRNA from 1 species